rnacentral:rRNA from 1 species
GACGAACGCUGGCGGCGUGCUUAACACAUGCAAGUCGAACGGAAAGGCCCUGCUUUUGUGGGGUGCUCGAGUGGCGAACGGGUGAGUAACACGUGAGUAACCUGCCCUUGACUUUGGGAUAACUUCAGGAAACUGGGGCUAAUACCGGAUAGGAGCUCCUGCUGCAUGGUGGGGGUUGGAAAGUUUCGGCGGUUGGGGAUGGACUCGCGGCUUAUCAGCUUGUUGGUGGGGUAGUGGCUUACCCAGUCUUUGACGGGUAGCCGGCCUGAGAGGGUGACCGGCCACAUUGGGACUGAGAUACGGCCCAGACUCCUACGGGAGGCAGCAGUGGGGAAUAUUGCACAAUGGGCGGAAGCCUGAGGCAGCAACGCCGCGUGCGGGAUGACGGCCUUCGGGUUGUAAACCGCUUUCGCCUGUGACGAAGCGGGAGUGACGGUAAUGGGUAAAGAAGCACCGGCUAACUACGUG